UACGUAGGUGGCGAGCGUUGUCCGGAUUUACUGGGCGUAAAGGAUGCGUAGGCGGAUAUUUAAGUCAGAUGUGAAAUGCCCGGACUUAACUUGGGCACUGCAUUUGAAACUGGAUAUCUAGAGUGCAGGAGAGGUGAGUGGAAUUCCUAGUGUAGCGGUGAAAUGCGUAGAGAUUAGGAAGAACACCAGUGGCGAAGGCGGCUCACUGGACUGUAACUGACGCUGAGGCAUGAAAGCGUGGGGAG
rnacentral:rRNA from 1 species